rnacentral:rRNA from 1 species
AUUGAACGCUGGCGGCAGGCCUAACACAUGCAAGUCGAGCGAGCGGCGGACAGUGGAGUAAUGUAUGGGGACUGCCCGAUAGCGGGGGAUAACUACGGGAAACGGUGUCUAAUACGGCGUUCUGUGGGAUACGCGAUAUGGGAUUAGCUAGUAGGUAAGGUAAUGGCUUACCUAGGCGACGAUCCCUAGCUGGUCUGAGAGGAUGAUCAGCCACACGGGGACUGAGACACGGCCCAGACUCCUACGGAGGCAGCAGUGGGGAAUAUUGCACAAUGGGCGAAAGCCUGAUGCAGCCAUGCCGCGUGUAUGAAGAAGGCCCUAGGGUUGUAAAGUAUUUUCAGUCGGGAGGCGUUACCGACCGAAGAAGCAACGGCUAACUCCGUGCCAGCAGCCGCGGUAAUAC